CUCAGAAAAUGGUCCCAUCCCGGAAGUAAGAAAAAUUGCAGUUCCACCCUCAUCCGCUGGGGGCUGGUGCCAGAAGCGAGCAAAUCCUCAUUGACUCCCAUGUUAAAAAUGCCGAUUUCACAGCAGAAAUAAACAUGUUUACAGCCUGGUACCAAAACAUGUUUUUUGUCUAAAUUAUCUAGUUUAUACUCAUGACAACUCUGAGGGGGGUGAAUUUUUUUCUCACUCUUCUGUUUAAGUGUAUUGAAAGCCUAAAAUUCUGUAUAAUUAAUGAGCAUCCGACACACGUGACCGCCGCCUCAGACCCACGUGACCACAGAGCUAGCUCCGUGGAAAGGCCUCAGUACAGCCUCGGUCUGGCUUGGAAACUGCUCCGGCAUUUUGAGUCUCUGUGUUUGUGUAUUCUUCUUUGGAUAUUAUUGGUGCAAUUGUUGGACAAAAUGACUUGCAGUGGUAUUAAUUGCACUAAUAGAGCGUCCAAGGAGUCUCCACUUCAUUUUUUUCGGUAAGUUAAAAUCUAUAUUCGUAUUUUAUGUCACUGCUACCUUUAAACUAGCUGAGUUUACCGAAGUAGCUAGCUAACUAUCAGUUUAACAUGUAGCAUGUACUGUUUAACCAUGAAAUUUAAAUGUAAAAUACGGUAAAAUAAUUAAUAGGGCAUAUUUAGAUGGGUAAUAGGGUAAAACCCAGUGCAUUUAAGAUAAAAAUGGGUUGAAAUAUGACGGAGCGCUAAGAGGGAGACUUCUGUGUCCAUUCUUCCAUCCGGUAAUCCCCAGCGUUCAGGCCGGGCAGCCUGACCGAUCCGGCGCCUACUUGCUGCGCCUAGCUGCUGCGCGGUCUGACCGCUCGUGGAGUUUUUCAUGUCUGACUUUAACCGCAUCUAAUACUGUAUUACGGCGUGAGCGCAACAGCGACAACUUAAUAUCGAUGUGUAAGCAGCCUGAGUGGUAGGGUGUUUUCAUCUGAACCCUCCAGCAGGCUAUGCUGCACUAUUGACGUGUUAGCGCGCGGCGCUAACAACUUAGCAACGUGACAUGUCUCUGAGAAAGCGUAAAACACGGACGCUUCUUCUGAAGCGGAAAAUAACACCUCUUCUUAAGCAGAGCAGGAUGUCGCCUCGGCUCGUUCACGGCCGAGCCGGACUGAGCUCGAUAACAUUGACCAAGCACAGCCACUGGGCCGUUGUAGCUGCCACCAGGCCUGCUGAAGGAACUCCAGCGGGUUUCAUCAGACUCGUAAAGUUUCUUGUUUUUGCUGGGGAUUUCUGUAUUUUACCGCUCCCUCCUGCAGUCUUCCCCUAUUAAAAUUUAAAAUGUGUAACUUUAUGUAUUGUGAUGAAUGACUAAUAUUCAUGUUAAACUGAAACGUUAGGCAUUUAGGGGGAAAAAACAAAAUAAUAAACAUUAUACAGAUGUCAAAUAAAUCAAACUGUAAUUAAACUAUAUAUUUUCAAAGUCAUAUAGACAGCAUGAUGGUUUGUGUGAUCCGCGCGGUUUCACUUACACCCCUUUAAUGAUCAGGCUGUUUUUUAUUAUUUUUAUCAGCUGAUAGCAGUUAAAAUUAUGGUAAAAAAUACUUUUAUCUGUUUUUGAUAACUUAAUGCCCAGGAAGAGCAUCUUCCUGGGCAUUAAAUAUAACCCAAAUGUUUUAUUAUGAGCAGAUCUGAUGAAGGUUUAGACAAGCAGUCUGCAAAGUAAAACUUGUUUAGAGUCCAAACUCUUACUAAAGCUUUUGAAAAGAAAAAAUGGUUGAAUUUUGAGAAAUAUCCACAACAGGGGAGCGAGACCUCUGAAAAAUGUAUAUUUUCUCUGAAUUCAUAGAAUAAUGUGAAGAUUCUGGGAAAAGUUGGGAUUCUGAGAUUAAAACGUAAAUCUUUCUAAUCAUAAUUCUGGCAGUUUUUGUGUCCUUCUGCUGUGGAAAGUCGUGCAACAUGAAGAUACUGAGAAGAUGCUUACAACCUGUAUUUUUAUUCCAUCCAUAAAUAAAAUCAUGAGCUAUUUUUUUAAUCCAAAUUUGAUCCAAAGGGCCAUCGUUGGUUCCAGACCCGUUCUAGAACAUUCCUCUAAUCUUAAAGUCAUCAUCAGUUUCUUCCUUUUAACAAAUAUUUAUUUGUUCAAAUAUUUAAUAUUUAUAACUGGAAUAUUUGUUCCUCCCUCUCCCACUGCAGUUAGUCCUGUCCUGCAACCCUGUUUUUGCAGCUAGUGAAGCCAACCAUCACUAACCUGGGGGUGGUUUUGGACCCAGAGAUGCGGAUGGACUCCCACAUUAGCCAGGUGGUUAGAUCCUGCUUUUCCCGGCUUCGCCAGCUACCAAAGAUGAAGUCCAUCCUGAAAGACGUGUCAUAUUUUCUCCCCAAGCUGGACCUGACCGUCAUGUAUCGGUCCAAAAUAGUGUGAUGAUAUUGUGUUUUUGUACAUAACAGACUUUUUAACAGACAAAUUUGUCGCAUUCUCCUACACCUCUUCACGGGCUCGCCACAGUAAAUAUUCUAUUUGGCAAGAGAUAAACUUUAUUGUAUUUAUCCUAGUGAAUCUAUAAUUAAACGGGUAAACUAGUAGUAGCACAUCCAACAUCAAAGAAAGUAAAAUGUUAUUAUCAGGAGAGGGAGAAUGUUUAAGUGGUUAGCAGCAGUGUGCUAGCCGAUGGCCCCCUCCAUGAGGCCACCACAGCUCAACAGAACAUCGUUGUAGCUUCUUCUGGGGAGAAAAACACUUAGAGAAAAAAUAAAGUUAACAGCUGAAAUAGCAGGAAAUAAUACAGUUAAAGAGCAGAUUGUAGAAGAAAGAAACCCCUGGGUUAAACUGGUCUGUCUACUGCAUAAUGCUGAACUCUAACAUGUGUCCUCAGGGAAGGACCUGAUUGGUGUCCAGAACCUGUUGAAGAAGCACCAGGCUCUGCAGGCUGAGGUCACAGGUCAUGAACCUCGCAUCAAGGCUGUCACCCAGAAAGGAGAGACCAUGGUGGAAGAAGGUCACUUCGCUGGUGAGGAAGUGAAGACUAAACUGUGGGAGCUUCAUGGACGUUGGGACACGCUGAAGGCCAAGGCGUCCCAGAGGAGGCAGGACCUGGAGGACUCUCUGCAGGCCCAGCAGUACUUUGCGGAUGCUAAUGAGGCCGAGUCCUGGAUGAGGGAGAAGGAGCCCAUCGUUGGAAGUCCAGACUAAGGGAAAGACGAGGACUUGGCCGAGGCUCUCCUGAAGAAGCACGAGGCCCUGAUGUCGGACCUGUCGGCUUACGGCAGCAGCAUCCAGGCCCUGAAGGAGCAGGCCCAGUCCUGCAGGCAACAAGGUGAUCAGCAGGUGCUUUUGUCCUGCAGGACCUGAAGGCCAACGAGUCCCGCCUGAGGGACAUCAACAAGGUGGCAUCUGAACUGGAGUCAGAAGGUCUGAUGGCUGAGGAGGCUCCUAUGGUUCAGGCUCAGCAACAAGAACAUCUGGGUUCUGCUCCUGGAAAGGUGCGUGUUGUCCUCCGCCUCCACCAGAACCAGACGUGGUGUUUAUGUUACCACUCAUUUGUUUGUUUACAGGAUGAAGCCGACUCUAACACGGCGUCACCCUGGAAGACCGUACGGUUGGGCGUUCAGACGACGGCUAACUUUAAUUCCAUCAAGGUAAGAGGAAGCUCUUCCCUUCCUGUCUGAGCGAUCCGUCUCCAGGUUUCUUCGUCCGGCGUCCAGCCCGCUGGCGUCCACCUUCAUCUCACCUUCAUCUCAUCUCACUUCAUUUAUAGUGCAAUACUUUCACAUUAUCAUUUUCCCACACUUCUGUAUACCUGUAUUUUGUUGUUUUUCAAUAAAGAAUGACAAAUUA